UACAGAGGUCUCAAGCGUUUUUCGGAUUCAUUGGGCGUAAAGGGUGCGUAGGCGGCGCGGUAAGUCGGGUGUGAAAUCUCGGAGCUUAACUCCGAAACUGCAUUCGAUACUGCCGUGCUUGAGGACUGGAGAGGAGACUGGAAUUUACGGUGUAGCGGUGAAAUGCGCAGAUAUCAGGAGGAACACCAACGGCGAAGGCAGCUCUCUGGGACGUUACUGACGCUGAGACGCGAAAGCGUGGGGAGCAAACAGG
rnacentral:rRNA from 1 species